ACCCGUCCAGUGCCAGAUCCCAACUCGAGUCGAGGGUCGCCCUUUCUCGACGCUUUCCAGUUGCUUCUCCUCGCUGUCGCGGUCGCGGUCGCCUCUGGUUCGCUUGGUGCAGGUCGGGAACGUCGGGAUCCGCCGGCGGAUGAGCUGCUUCCCGCCUUGCAUCAACUGAAUCGGAGGCGAGAGUGACGAUCUCCGCGCCCUCCCCCCUUCCUCCUCCUCCCGGCUGCCAAUUUGCAGAUCUCGAUGAUUGGAGCUCUACAAUGUCAUUGGCAGUAAUAUGGGCACAAUUACAUCCAAUUCCCAGGAUACUAUUUCCACCGAGGGCUGAGGAAAAAAACUUAAGUAGAAUAUUGUUGAAAUUUUAGGUAUGAUAUUGAAAAGAUUUGCCUGUGUCUUUCUCGACUUGAUAAAGCACUCACCAGCUAUCAAGCCUAGAGUUGAAUUUUAAUUGACACUCUCAGUGGGGCGGUGCACCAGAUGAAAAGCAAGCAUCUUAUGUGAUGGAGCAAGGAGAUGGUUAGCAAAAUGGUGCGAAGCUGAAGGAACUACAAAUGCUGACAUUCCAGUGUUUGCAGAUACAGAAACUUCAGUUGAUGAGUUGUUUAAUUUAGACUGAAAGCAUGUUACGUGAUGGCCAAUACACUAUAUUUUGUUUGGGAACUUCAAUUUUUUUAUGGCACAUGCCAAGGUUUCCUCA